GUUCCCUAUGAUGUUUUACUUUUUAAACCAUGCUAAUACUGAUCACAUGAUGAUUGAUCUUCAACUCUUGUCUCUGAGGGAACU